rnacentral:scRNA from 1 species
CAUCCCCGUCUUCCGUGAUUGCUGAUCGAGUG